CAGUCAUUGCGGCAUCACCACCGGAGUUAACAACUAUUCAAAACUUCUUAACUCGUUGUUAUAAAAGAAGAUACACAUCAGAACAAAUAGAUAUUAAUAUACUGUUAGAGCAGACAGAUAGAAAGCUGUUUGAAAAGCUGUGUAAACAAAACAAUCAUCCGUUAAGAGAAAUUUGUCCAAAAAUUAAAGAAUAUACAGUUAAACUUAGAACACAAGAGGCACAGUGGCCAAACAUUUCUACCGAGCGUUUUAAAAAUAGUUUCAUCAAUAGAUGUAUUUUUAGAUAUAAUUUAGCUUUGCAAUUUUAAUAUAACCUAAAAAUUUUUUAAUGUUAAAAACUUG